AGGUUUAAGAGGCUUCGAGUGCGAUUGGCUAUAUCUAUGUGGCAUGCCACAUGCAGCAGCCACGCCAGCAGCAUCAGACAUCAGAGUUCAAAAGUCACGUGCAGCACAAAUUGAUUGCAGCUUAAAUGCAAUCCGAGCCAAAAAUCGGACAUAAAAAAAACAAUAAAAUAAACGAGAAACCAUGACAAAUAUUUAUGAAUUACAUCUGCCACUUGUGCAUUUC
ensembl:ncRNA lncRNA:CR45689 long non-coding RNA:CR45689